AAUUGAAACAAAUUAUAAACCCAUCAGAGAUUAACAAUACGAGACUGUAGAAGAUCAAUCCUCAACUUGACAAUAUACAACAAUCAACAACAAGAUUGGGAAGGCCUACUGAAUUUCUGAAUGAAUUUCCAACAAUUUUACAUAGCGUUCUUUGAUACCAGUUAAGACAUUUUUAACAGAUUCAUGAAACUCUAAAGCCAUUUAAUUAACUAGACUCAUUACUAGACGUUGAAUUAACAGAAACUUUUAACACAUUCCAGUUUUAAUAUAACAGUCCAAUCCUAGAUAUCAGUUACAAAAAGUAGUCCAAAUUAGUCUACCAGAAAUCAUAAAUAUACAACCAUGUUUACUGCUAAGAUCAACACCAAUCAAGUAACAACAAUUAAGAAUCUCAAUGACUAAGCUAUGACAUCAAAACAUCUUCCAAAAUGCAUAGACUUGAGAAUAAUUUUCAACUUUAAUUUGGAGCUACAUCAAGGUUUUGCAAAGAAGUGUACCUGGAUUUAAUUGAAGAGAACAAGUGAAAGUUGUUAGCAAUAGUAUUCAGCAGUAGUAUAAUAUUCAACAACACCAAUUAGCCCAAUUUUAACCCAAAAAUGCAUUUGACAGUCCAGAAAAAAUUCAGAAGAAGACAGACUCAGAAAAACCCACUCAUAAACCACUUGAAUCCAGCCAAAUAAAUUCACAACUGAACCCAUCCAAUCUAGAAUACCUUCAACAAUAGAAAUAACUACACAACAACUCAAAGAGACCUCAACCUGACUCCAAAGACCAAAUCAAGCAGUUUCAGAAUGGAACAUUACUAUUUUUUUUUAAUUUUUGUUUUGUUUUUGGUUUUUGUAUUUUAUCUACUUCACAUCUAGACGAAUUAGAAUGGCAAGAGUAUUUGGGAUCUAAUAACGGCUGAAAAAGAGAAGACCCCUUCACAUGGCACAUGCAAUGCCUAUUUAUAGGUAACCCAAGUGUGGUGAAUCAGAUUUUGUUUUGUAUUUUAGUCCAUCUCUCUUUUAUCUUUUGGUCCCUUUAUUUCUAGAUUGUAGCACAAAUGACCCUUAUCUAAAAGUUCCUAGGAGUUAUACAUUAUUCUUGUGACUAUCAAAUUCCCACAAUGCCCCUGAACUCAACUCAAAUUUACUAAACUAUUUCAAACGACUAAUUCCAACUCUCCAGGUAGUUACUUAUCAAAUAUACUUAAUCAUAUUCUUUGCCACCCCCUCAAUUAACCCCCCUAAGUCAAUUAGUUAAACAAGCAACUAAUAAUCUAACUAUUCAGACCAAGCAAUCAAUAUGUAACUCAAGUAAACACUUAUCAUGACGAAUUAUCUACCGAUUAACUACUCAAUUAUGAAUUCAAAACUAACUAGAAUUAAAAUUAAAAUAAAGGUUCAAGAACUUACACAUGCAGCUAAACAUAAGGAAAGAAGAAAUAGACUAAUAAAGAAAAAGAAGGCUAGGAACUCACUGAUGUACCCAGAAACUCCGGCCAGCAUUCGAUGUCCAAAUCUUAAAAAAUUUCUAACACGUAACAUCCCCAACCAUGUUUUUCAUAGGAAAACACAUGGUUAUGGAUAUUACGGUCUGAAAUCACAAAGAUUUUGAGUUAGGAUUUUUUGGCUGAAAAAUUGUAAAUUGAUAUUUGAGCACUUCCUGGCAGAUUCGAGAGAUGCCACUAUGAGGGUUUGGUAGAGUAUGCCUGGGUGGUUCUAUGGUGUAAAUUUGGGGCUGCUUGGCGUAUGUGGUGCUCGCCGAAAAAUAUUCCAUGAAAUAUUUGGUGGUUUUUGGUGAGAUUCGAAGGAGACUAAUGGUGGGAAUGGGAAUAGGGGAGAAAGGCGAGUUAGUGGUGUAGAUUUGGUAGCCAUUGGAAUAAGUGGUCUUCACUGCUGGUGGUGGCUCCGGCGGUGUUACAAUCUCUAAUACGAGGAAGAUGAGAUGAAGUUUUAGGGUGAAUGACAAAAUUCGGAC
rnacentral:lncRNA from 1 species